GAUGAACGCUGGCGGCGUGCCUAAUACAUGCAAGUCGAACGAAUCGAUGCUGAGGUUGCCUCGCUGCCGAUAGCGGCGGGCGGGGGAGGAAGAGGUGGAUAACCUUCGUAUAAGUACGCGAUAAAGUCGGAAAACAGGUGGAAAUGGGGGCUAAUAUCUCAUAACGGUUUGUUCAGCAGGGAAAAAGAGUUUAAAGCGCUCUUGGGGGUGGAUCCGCGCUGCAUUAGCGGGUUGGUAAGGUAACGGCUCACCAAGGCAACGAUGCGUAGCCGACCUGAGAGGGUGAUCGGCCACACUGGAACUGCGACACGGUCCAGACUCCUACGGGGGGCAGCAGUAGGGAAUCUUCCGCAAUGGGCGAAAGCCUGACGGAGCAACGCCGCGUGAGUGAUGAAGGUCUUCGGAUCGUAAAACUCUGUUAUUAGCGAAGAACAAAGGCGUAAGUAACUAUGCACAUCCUGACGGUACCUAACCAGAAAGCCACGGCUAACUACGUG
rnacentral:rRNA from 1 species